CGAUGGAGCGACGCCGCGUGGAGGAUGAAGGCCUUCGGGUUGUAAACUCCUGUCAUGCGGGAACAAGCAAGUGAUAGUACCGCAAGAGGAAGAGACGGCUAACUCUGUGCCAGCAGCCGCGGUAAUACAGAGGUCUCAAGCGUUGUUCGGAUUCAUUGGGCGUAAAGGGUGCGUAGGUGGUGACGCAAGUCUGGUGUGAAAUCUCGGAGCUCAACUCCGAAAUUGCACCGGAUACUGCGUGACUCGAGGACCGUAGAGGAGAUCGGAAUUCACGGUGUAGCAGUGAAAUGCGUAGAUAUCGUGAGGAAGACCAGUUGCGAAGGCGGAUCUCUGGGCAGUUCCUGACACUGAGGCACGAAGGCCAGGGGAGCAAACGGGAUUAGAUACCCCGGUAGUCCUGGCAGUAAACGGUGCACGUUUGGUGUGGGCGGGUUCAGACCCCGUCCGUGCCGGAGCUAACGCGUUAAACGUGCCGCCUGGGAAGUACGGUCGCAAGAUUA
rnacentral:rRNA from 1 species